rnacentral:lncRNA from 1 species
AAAGAGUCAAAAGAGUGAAAUUAACCCCAGAGUAUACGUGAUGCACGAGAAAAAGAGAAAGAAAAAUCACACAACAUGACUGCCGAGUUCAAAACCCUUUGUUAUCCAUUUUUUGUUUAUCCCACCGUACCCAAGCCUCGUUACAACCUAAAAGACCUCGUAUAGUGUGUGGAAUCUGCUGUUGUCGUGAAAUUAGAAUGUAUUCAAAUUUAAGAGUUU